rnacentral:lncRNA from 1 species
AGCUUUUAAACCAGGGUUGGGUACAGUGUGUUGUGGGUUAAAUUGUGUCCCCACAAAAGAUAUGUUGAAAUCCUGGGAUAUUGUUAUUCAUAAUAAACACAUAUUGGUUCAUCUCAUUCCUUGGCAAAGCUCCUAAAACUCUUGGAAUUUCUUAAGUGAUAAAAGCAAUAAAGGUGAAAGGAGAAUCUUGUGCCAUUCAUAACAAGCCCCUUUCAAUCACACCUGAGUUUGUGUUAAUAAGCUGAUUUUUGGAAAGUCCCUAAAGAUAGAGAGCUGGUUGCCAGGGGGAACUAACCAUAUGAUAAGAAGGUUAGAACUUUUAGCUCCACCCCUGACCUUUUAAGGAAGAGGAGAAAGACUGAAAAUAGAAGGUUGAGUUGAUCACCAACAAACAAUGAUUUAAUCAAAAAUGCCUAUAUAAUGAAACCUCAAUAAAAACUGAAGAGGACAGGAUUCAGAGAAUCUCUAGGUUGGUGAAAAAUAGUGGUGUUGGGAGAGUUGGUAUACCCAGUGAGGGUAUGGAAGCUCUGUGCCACCCACCCCCCAGCCCAAUACCUUGACCUGUGCAUCUCUUCCAUCUGGCUGUUUCUGAGUUUUAUGUGAAGACUCGGGGACACAGGGACACACAAGGGAAAUGCGAUGUGACUAUGGAGACACAGAUUAGAGUGAUGGGUCCACAGGUCUCAGGGUCCUCAAACAACCACCAGAAGAUAGGAAGAGGCAAGGAUCAUACCCUAGAGCCUUCAGAGACAGCAUGGCCCAGCUGACAUCUUGAAUUCAGACAUCUAGCCUCCAGAACCUCCAAAGAAUAAAUGUCUAUUGUUUUAAACCAUCCAGUUUGUGGUGCUUUGUUACAAUCUCCCUAGGAAACUAAUACAGCGUGGGUGGAAUAUAAGGCCAGACAGGUAGGAGUUUGUCGGCCUCGGGACACUCUCACAUUGCUCUUGCUUUAGCAUCUUAGCAAGGAUGCCUAGACCUUGGCCUAAUACUUUCUAGAUUGUCUUCUUAAAACUUGAACAUGGAAAAACAGUUAAUUAGUUGGAGUUAAUUAGACUUACAGUUAAUUAGCUGGAGACCUACAGUUAAUUAGUUGGAGAUGUUGAAGCUGCUUUGACAGUACUCUGUAGGAUCAGGAGGCUCAGAGGGUUAGGAAUUUUGAAAAAAUGAGAGUAACAACCCCAAACCUGACUGUAUUUCCUGGGAGGGCCGAGAAUAUAUACUCUCACAGUCAGAUUUAGCCACAGAAACACUGCCUUGGGACUGGUCUCCCUCAUGCAAACAGAGACGGUGGGACUUCGGCAGAGAGAGUAUACAGGCCAGGUGUCAGCACUUACCAUGAGAAAGAUGAUGGCACUCAUUUAAAUAAAUCAUGAUAUUCAUAGAGACAAGAUGAAGGAUGAA